rnacentral:tRNA from 1 species
GGGCUCAUAGUCGAAUGGUAAGACGUUCGCUUGACGUGCGAAAGAUUGGGAGUUCGAUUCUCCCUGAGCCCA